GAGCUGUCAAAUUACUACAAUACGUUAUAGCUAAUUUGAAUUUGAAAGGGUUCAGUUUUUUUAUACACACUGUAGAUGGCACUUUUUGCUACAAUGUCCAGUGGGAUUUCUCCUUCUGAUGCAUGUGAAUUAGAGGCUGUUUAUAUGUUUAUAUCCCAUUUUUAACGAGCUUGAGAUUCUUCCAUUUAACAACAUUUAUUUGUUUCAUUUAGGCUUGUUUAUGUAUCAGUUCCAUAAUUGUAUGUUACCGUCUAAUUUUGAUGAGUAUUUCACAUGUGUUAACCAAGUUCACAAUUAUAAUACGCGACAAUCGAAUUUGUAUUUCCUCCCAUUUUGUAGAACUAACCUGAGAAAAUUUGCUAUUAUUUACCAAGGUCCUAAAUUUUUUAACUCCUUCCCCAAAAUAUAUAUAUGAUGCUUCAUCCGUCUCCGGUUUUCGGAAAAAACUUAAAGAAUAUUUAUUUAGACUUUAAUUUUGUAUUAUUUAAACACACAAUCAAUGUAACAUAGUUUCUAUCUAUGCUUUGUCAAAAACCUGAUCCCAAUUUUUUGGUCUAUUUUUCCUUUUCAUCCAAAUUUUGUUUGUUCGUUUGUUUGUUUGAUUUACACAUUGUAUCUUGCUCGAUAUGUUUUUACAGCUAACACUAAAAUUUUGCUAUAUAUGUAUUACUGUAGUUUGAUCUAGGUGGCCCAAAUUACAUAAGCCCUUAUGGUUUCUUUUGGGUUUCCUUGCCUUACAAAUGUAAUUUUUUUUUAUUUAUUUUGUUUUUCUCUUUGAUAUUGUAAACAUUUUUUUUUAUUGGCUAAAAUAAAUUGACUUGACUUGAAUGUCACCAUGGCACUGUGUCCACGACCAAUUUCCCUGAAUGCCAAGACUGUCUUGUGUUUACAUUGUAUGAGGGCCCUUACUUUUGAGAUAUGUGAAAGCAAUGCUUCCAGUCACAUUCAAGAUUGUUGCAUUGUAAGAUAAUAUAAUGCGAAAACCCUUUCUUUUUCUUCAUGUCAACGUGAGAUGUUAUAUGGUUACCACAGUCAGGGCAUCUCAGUACUUCAUCAAAUACACCAAAAAGUACCUGUACAUCCAUGAAUAUGGUGCCUUCUUUAACGGAGUCACUAUCACCAGAAUUCUCACCAAAUUUGCCAUGUGAAUCAGCAUGUUUUGUCUGGGAAGCCCCCAUGUUUUGAGAAGAUGGUUGGCCGUCAUCUUUGAAUUUCUUGCUUCCCUUUGAUGGUGGAAUUCUGUUCUUUUUUCUCUUUCUAUUUUGCGGAUUUCCCAUUAUUAUGUCAAAAAUUAUUUAAAAAAGAUGACAAAGUAAAAGAAAUUUAAAAAAAACGGCAGUAAGUCCUCAAUAAAUACGAAGAAAUCGCGGAGUAAUGGCUAGCAAAUUCGCCCGGUCGAUAAGUGUAGCACGCUAUGAAGUACUAUGUGCUCGAAAAAUGGACCAAUCAAAUUGCAGCUUUCGAAAUGACUUUUAAAUCACAUACAUCAAAAGUAGAAACUUCAAAAAACUUUAUUUAUUCAUUUGUUUUUGUUUUUCGUGCGUUUUUAUGGGCCAAAACGCGUUGCUAAGGCGUUGCUAAGGGGAAGAUAUUUCACUAUGACCAUUUUAAAAGCAUUUUUCGCUUUCAAAACCAAACAAAUCAACUAAAAUUAUAGCAGAUUCUGAAAGUUCAAUACUUGAAAUAUCUAAAACACUAAAACCCAAAAUUUUGAAGAAAUCAUAUUGAAAAGGGGAUAUAACCGCUCGCAGACGGCCUUCAGACAUAAAUUCGCACAAAAAGGCAAGACUCUUGAUCUUGAAAUCGAUGUUUAUCGUGCUAAUACUGUAUAACUUUUAAGCUGAAUAUUCAAAUCGCUUCGAGCGUUUCGCACCGCCGGCCCACACGCACACCACAAAACAUACGUUAAACGUUGCACAGUAUUCGCCAAACUCGACUUCAGCUAGCCACACUUGAAUGUCUUUCACUAGUAAUGAUGUCAGCAUUUCAAUUCAACUUCGCGAAUAAAAGAUUGCUCUACAAGCUUUGCCUGAUGUAAACGAGAUCACUUGACCGCUUUUCAAAGCAAACGGCACAACAGAGAUAAAAUUUGACUAAGUGCGUCAUAUUUGAAUACGACCGCGUGGAUUUCGCAGUGCAUGAUUGGUUGAUGUAAGGUGCGACAGGAUGUUAUCGUUCAUAAUUGAUUUCACAUAUAAAAAUUCUGAAAAUAGCUUACAUAAAAUAUUUUUACCAAAACCUUGGUGAAGUACCUAGGGGUAUCUGCAUGGCUGGGGGGGGGGGGAUUUGUUGCAUUUGCAAACGAGUGUGAAAAUACUGCAUAGCUUCUCUAUGAUAAUUUGAAAACAAAAUAUUAAAAUAGGUCUGCCAGUCUGGAGACUACAGUUACUCGUGUAACAAUUAAUCGGUGUAAUGUUACACUAUUUUGGUGUCGGUACAACUCUGCGAGAUUUACAAUGCAACAAACCACAUCGAGAUUUACAAUGCAACAAACCACAUUACUGGCAAUUCAAAAAUAAAAGAGACACAUUCUAAUACAAACUUAUAGUUCGGUUCAUGUAUUGAAUUUCACGACUGCCUUUUUGCUCAGGCGCCUGUUUUUUAACGUAGUACCGUUGUCUGAAUACAAUUUUUGAAGUGGAUUAAAUGCAAUUUUUAAUGUCUGUUGAUGGUCAUCAAAAACCUAUUUUCACAAGCCAGAUAGCUUGUAUUGUACAGUAAGUUCCGACAACUGAUACAAAGUGUUUUAUACAAAAACAUGGAGUGUAUUAAUUAAUCAUUGAUAAUGUGAAACGUAGUUGCAAGCAACUGAAGAGUAGAUAACGAAAUUCAUUCUUCACUGUUGCAAAGAGUGAUUGAAGCAGUUCAAUAUGCAAUUACUGAGGGACUAAAUGUACUAACAUUAAAUGUGCUAACAUUGUAUCUCCUUCCUUAAUCCUAUAUUUUAAAAUAUCAGAUUGUUUGAUUAUUUGGGCCACGGGGCCCAAACAGGUUCUGUGAUUGAUUUCAUUAUAACAAAUGAAAUUAAUUUUCUAAGAAACCAGUUGCAAACACUGAACAAUUUCGGUAACAGAAUCCAAUAACAAAACAUGUUCAUUUUAGCGUCGUAUUUACUGCAUUAUUUUGACAUAAAUAGAAGCAAUUUCCACGUUACUGUUACUCGUCAAUACCAUCAUUUCGUGUGACUAUGCGCGCAUUUAUACCUAUAUAUAGUAACUAUAAGGGUAAGAACUAAUUUGUCGAAGUCUGCUAACUAAGUGUUCUAUAUGUACCAUAUUUGCUGGCGAAACGUUAUCCAUCAAAUACUGCUUGCAAAAGAGAUACACCACUCAGAAGACAGCCAUGGGUUUACUAGUUUGAAGGUGGUAAGAAACAAGCAGAAAACAGUGCGUACUCAUAACUGGACAGCUCCAAGAGAUUUUUCUUCGAGGCAAAUUAUAAUGGUUCAAUACACAAAACCAGCAAACGAGAAUGGCAGAUGAUGAAUUUCCAUUGACUAUUAACAAUGCGGCUGGAUAGUAUGGAGCUAUAUUAUAUUAUGGAAUUAUACUUUAGGGGUGGGGUAUUAAUUGGG